UGAAUACGAGACGCUACGGCGUCGAAGCAGUCUAUGUCAUACCUCCAAGAAAAGCUCGCAAUGUCAUAAACAAAUAAUGCCUGUACCAUAACCGACACAGGUGGGUAGGUAGAGUAUACUAAGGGGCGCGAGAUAACUCUCUCUAAGGAACUCGGCAAAAUGACUCCGUAACUUCGGGAGAAGGAGUGCCUUAUUUAUAAGGUUGCAAUAACAAGAUCCAAGCAACUGUUUAUCAAAAACACAGGUCUCCGCUAAGUCGUAAGACGAUGUAUGGGGGCUGACGCCUGCCCAGUGCCAGAAGGUUAAAGAAGUUGGUUAGCAUUCGCGAAGCUGAUAACUGAAGCCCUGGUGAACGGCGGCCGUAACGAUAACGGUCCUAAGGUAGCGAAAUUCCUUGUCGGGUAAGUUCCGACCCGCACGAAAGGCGUAAUGAUUUGGAUACUGUCUCGGAGAGGGGCUCGGUGAAAUAGACUUGUCUGUGAAGAUGCGGACUACCUGCACCUGGACAGAAAGACCCUAUGAAGCUUUACUGUAACUUGAAAUUGAAAUUGGACUUUAUUUGCGCAGCAUAGGUGGGAGGCGUUGAGAGUAUUCUUGCGGGAAUAUUGGAGCCAUCAGUGAGAUACCACUCUUGUAAUGUUAGAUUUCUAACUUUGGAUCAUUAUCUGGUCAAAGAACAGUUUCAGGCGGGCAGUUUGACUGGGGCGGUCGCCUCCCAAAUGGUAACGGAGGCGUACAAAGGUUUCCUCUGAACGGGUAGAAAUCGUAUCUAGAGUGUAAAGGCAUAAGGAAGCUUGACUGUAGACCUACAAGUCGAGCAGGGACGAAAGUCGGUCUUAGUGAUCUGACGGUGCUGAGUGGAAAGGCCGUCACUCAACGGAUAAAAGUUACUCUAGGAUAACAGGCUGAUCUCCCCCAAGAGUUCACAUCGACGGGGAGGUUUGGCACCUCGAUGUCGGCUCAUCGCAUCCUGGGGCGGUAGUACGUCCCAAGGGUUGGGCUGUUCGCCCAUGAAAGCGGUACGCGAGCUGGGUUCAGAACGUCGUGAGACAGUUCGGUCCAUAUCCGGUGUAGGCGUUAGAAUAUUGAGAGGAGCCUUCUUUAGUACGAGAGGACCGAGAAGGACAUACCUCUGGUGUACCAGUUAUCGUGCCAACGGUAAACGCUGGGUAGCUAUGUAUGGAGAGGAUAACCGCUGAAAGCAUCUAAGUGGGAAGCCCACCUCAAGAUAAG
rnacentral:rRNA from 1 species